rnacentral:rRNA from 1 species
UGGGGGAUUUUGCACAAUGGGCGCAAGCCUGAUGCAGCGACGCCGCGUGAGGGAUGAAGGCCUUCGGGUUGUAAACCUCUUUCGCUGGGUUGAAAGGCCAUGCUUUGGGUGUGGUUGAUUUGAACUGGUAAAGAAGUACCGGCUAACUACGUGCCAGCAGCCGCGGUAAUACGUAGGGUACUAGCGUUGUCCGGAUUUAUUGGGCGUAAAGGGCUUGUAGGUGGUUUGUCGCGUCUGUCGUGAAAUCCUGUGGCUUAACCAUGGGCUUGCGGUGGGUACGGGCAGGCUUGAGUGCGGUAGGGGAGACUGGAAUUCCUGGUGUAGCGGGGGAAUGCGCAGAUAUCAGGAGGAACACCGGUGGCGAAGGCGGGUCUCUGGGCCGUUACUGACACUGAGGAGCGAAAGCGUGGGGAGCGAACAGG